ACACACGUAACAACACGUAACAAAUAUUUUUUUAAAUAAUAUUAUAAUACUAUUUAAAAAAAUUUUUGUUACGUGCUGUUACGUGUUG